rnacentral:rRNA from 1 species
CCUACGGGUGGCAACAGUGGGGGAUAUUGCACAAUGGGGGGAACCCUGAUGCAGCGACGCCGCGUGGGUGAAGGAGUAUUUCGGUAUGUAAAGCCCUAUCGGCAGGGAAGAAUUUAGACGGUACCUGACUAAGAAGCCCCGGCUAACUACGUGCCAGCAGCCGCGGUAAUACGUAGGGGGCAAGCGUUAUCCGGAUUUACUGGGUGUAAAGGGAGCGUAGACGGCAGUGCAAGUCUGGAGUGAAAGGCGGGGGCUCAACCCCCGGACUGCUCUGGAAACUGUGCGGCUGGAGUGCAGGAGAGGUAAGUGGAAUUCCUAGUGUAGCGGUGAAAUGCGUAGAUAUUAGGAGGAACACCAGUGGCGAAGGCGGCUUACUGGACUGUAACUGACGUUGAGGCUCGAAAGCGUGGGGAGCAAACAGGAUUAGAUACCCUAGUAGUC